AAUCUUCCACAAUGGGCGAAAGCCUGAUGCAGCAACGCCGCGUGAGCGAUGAAGGNUUNNGGGUCNUNAAGCUCUGUCCUUAGNNNNNAUAAUGACGGUNCCUUAGGAGGAAGACCAGGCUAACUACGUGCCAGCAGCCGCGGUCAUACGUAGGGGGCAAGCGUUACCCGGAUUCAUGUGGCGUAAGGGGUGCGUAGGCGGCCCUAUAGGUCAGAGGUCAAAGGCUACGGCUCAACCGUAGUAAGCCUUUGAAACUGUAGGGCUUGAGUGCAGGAGAGGAGAGUGGAAUUCCUAGUGUAGCGGUGAAAUGCGUAGAUAUUAGGAGGAACACCAGUGGCGAAGGCGACUCUCUGGACUGCAACUGACGCUGAGGCACGAAAGCGUGGGGAGCGAACAGG
rnacentral:rRNA from 1 species